AGGUAAAAUGAUGAUCUACAAACUAUUUUCAAUAAAUAGUUUUUCUACUUUUUUUCCAAGAAAACUAUUGUAAACGUCAAAAGAGAAUUUAUUCGCAUUAAGAAAACGGUAAUGACUUUCUAAUGAUGCGUUUUUAUGUAAAGCAAAUCAUCUGUGCUCUCAAAUUUUGUGAUAAAAGAGUACAAAAAUAAACAAGUUGUCAUUAAAACUUUUUUGUGUUGAUAAUUCGAAGUACAUAUAAAAAGGAUCCUUUAAUAAUUCAGUUAAAAAUUCAUUUAAUAAGUCAAUGAACAAAAGUGAUUGGAAUGAGAAAGGAGCAAAUUAAAUUUAUAUAAAAUCUAAAGUACGAAUGGCUCAUUUAAUUGUUGCACUUCCCUGUGUAAAUCAAAACACAAAAGUUUUCGAUGCUGUAAAGAGAGAAAAUGAAUUUUUAUGUCAAAGAUUAAAUGUUUAUGAAACAAUAGAGUAUCAGUGUGCCCAUGUCGUACAUGGUUGUCACGCCCGAAACAGUGAAGAUAUGAAAUUGCCUGAGAAAGACAAGAAUGUGUAUGAACUCACCCGUACAUGUGAUUAUUGUGUGUAUUCUGCCUCCUACUGGAUGUAUAUUGAUACCAACUCAAUCUCAACAGAAAGAGAUUUUUCGCCACCUCAUCAAAAAGAUGCACUCUUUCGAUCGAUGAUAUCGUCUUGUACGACUGAGAAAGUAUUUUCAACUCUAAAAAAACAAGUAUAUAAUAAAUUCACUGAAGAAUAUAGAGCUUUUACGCCAAUACGGUCACAUGCUGCAUUUCUUUUGGGAGUACCAAUACAGCUUCCUCCUGAUCUUCUUCUUAAAUUGUUAGAUAUUGAGUGCUGCACAGCUGAGAAUGUAGGGCGUUCGAAUCAAGUUCAGGAUGUAAGAGUUUUAUUUCGACCUUGAAAAAAAAAAAACGACAGUGUUCCGUGUGAAAAAAGAAAAGAGACAGAAAUUUAUUCAAUUAUUUUUUUUUUCAAGUGCCAACAAGACGCUAGUAACUUUUAUAAGUCAUACCACGGAGUCUAUUUUCAACAAUUGUAUAAUAAUUAUCUUAUUUUAUUUGGAGAACAAAAGAAUUAUGACAUUCGCAGCCUACCAGGGUGUUGCUACAUUGUUUAUUUAUUAUCUAUAAAGUAUAAGGUUAUAGAUACUUCUGGACUCGAUACGGCGUUAAACAAUCACAAACUGAACUCAUUCAAUAUAGUUCCUAAAAAUUUAGCGGUUGAAAAUAUCAAAUUUGUUUCGACUUGCCCUGUAUGCAAUGAACGAGUGGAUCUUUCUGCCUUCGGUAAUCGGAUUUAGUGAACUGUUUUUUUUUUUAAAAUUCAUCAACUACGUUAUUUAUUUCAAAAAAUGGAUGAUAAAGUUUUGGCAAUGCCAACUUGUUAUUUUAGUCUACAAUAUGUUUUUAAGGCAUUUUAACGCGAUGUGGAGCGUGGAUGAGUUACUACCCUGAAAAUGGUACAUAUAUUCAUAGCUGUGUCGUAUGUCGUAGAAUUUAUAAAAGACUUUGUUUAACGAAUUUUCGUGAAAAAAAAAAGCUGGUUGAAAAUGUUCCAAAGUGUUUGGGUCUUGUUUAUAUUAUUCUUUUAAAUGAUUUAACUAGCGCCGUUUUAUCAAACGUAACAUGAGCUUGAAGUUCAUUCUUGCACUCUUUUGAAAAAAAAUGUACAGAACGUGAAGAAUCACGAAGAUAUGUCAAACAAAAAUUUGAUAGAUUCAACUCAAGAAAAUACACUUAUUCUGCAGGAGAAAAGACAGUGUGUGUCUUGUAACGAUUUACAAGAAACAUGGAUUUGUUUGAUUUGUGGU